rnacentral:rRNA from 1 species
AUUGAACGCUGGCGGCAGGCCUAACACAUGCAAGUCGAACGGUAACAGGAAACAGCUUGCUGUUUCGCUGACGAGUGGCGGACGGGUGUGUAAUGUCUGGGAAACUGCCUGAUGGAGGGGGUUAACUACUGAAAACGGUAGCUAAUCCCGCAUAUCGUCUCAACACCAAAGAUGGGGACCUUCGGGCGUCUUGCCAUUCGCUGUGCCCAGAUGGGAUUAGCUAGUAGGUGGGGUAACGGCUCACCUAGGCGACGAUCCCUAGCUGGUCUGAGAGGAUGACCAGCCACACUGGAACUGAGACACGGUCCAGACUCCUACGGGAGGCAGCAGUGGGGAAUAUUGCACAAUGGGCGCAAGCCUGAUGCAGCCAUGCCGCGUGUAUGAAGAAGGCCUUCGGGUUGUAAAGUACUUUCAGCGGGGAGGAAGGGAGUAAAGUUAAUACCUUUACUCAUUGACGUUACCCGCAGAAGAAGCACCGGCUAACUCCGUG